rfam:Stegodyphus mimosarum contig32640, whole genome shotgun sequence.
GCCUUCGUGGUGUAGUGGUCAGCACGCUCGGCGCGUAUUCGAGAGGUCCAUGGUUCGAGUCCUGGCGAGGGCA